rnacentral:rRNA from 1 species
GGGGGAAUAUUGGACAAUGGGCGCAAGCCUGAUCCAGCAAUGCCGCGUGCAGGAAGAAGGCCUUCUGGGUUGUAAACUGCUUUUAUCAGGGGAUAAAAAGCCGAUGCGUCGGAAAUUGAAGGUACCUGGUGAAUAAGCCACGGCUAACUACGUGCCAGCAGCCGCGGUAAUACGUAGGUGGCGAGCGUUGUCCGGAAUUACUGGGCGUAAAGGGCGUGUAGGCGGCCUUUUAAGUCAGAUGUGAAAUCUCAGGGCUUAACCCUGAAACUGCACUUGAAACUGGAGGGCUUGAGGAUCGGAGAGGGCAGUGGAAUUCCCAGUGUAGCGGUGAAAUGCGUAGAUAUUGGGAGGAACACCAGUGGCGAAGGCGACUGCCUGGACGACACCUGACGCUGAGGCGCGAAAGCUAGGGGAGCGAA